AAGAAAACAAAAUUUUCUUAGGACAUGCAUCAUUACUAAGAAUUUUUCCGUAAAUUUAUCUGUGCGCCUUCUACAGUUACCUGUGUGUCCCCUGUGGUACCUAUGGAAACCAGUUGUUGGGAAAUCCUUGUUAAGGUAUCUGAUGAAUCUCCAUAUCUCUUACACUGCACACAAUAAAUACCCGUGGAAUGAAUGAAUACAUAUAUGGAUGGAUGGACAGACGGAUGAUGCAUGGUAGAUGGAUGAAUACUUGAUCCCAUGCCCAUUGAGGGUUUGGGUCAGGGGACUGAUGUGAGCAGACACACAGAAGCACAGGCAGCCCCCGGCCUCCAGCAGAUUCUUCCAACCCAACUGGAAAGACAUGAUAUGGACUUGGGAAUUCUCUAACUCUGAAAGGCCCCCUCUGCUGAGGUGUCCCAUGUUCACAGACAGUGUGCAUGACCAGAGGUCAGAAAGAAGGGAGCUCACUCUGCUCUGGGCAGGGGGAGAUCAGGGAAGGCUGCCUGGAGGAGGUGAGGCUGGAGUGGGGCACUGAAGGAUGGGAAAAGUUAUGUGGAUGGAGAGGCGGAGGGAACAAAGGCCUGGGAAUCUGAUGGGCCAAAGGGAAGACAGGAGACAAGUAAAGCUUGGAGAUUUUGUCGAGAAAAGAAGAGAGGAGGCAAUUAAGGUGGGAGAAAUGGCACCAGAAAACCACUGAAAAUGCCCCAGUGGGGUUUGUUACUUUUAAAAAAAAGCAACCACAAAGAAAGACAAUGAAACAUCCAUGCUUUCUUUAGUAAGGUGUAAGGAGAAGUGGCGCCAAGAAACAGCAUGGAUUUUGGAGUGAGGCAGACCUGGGCUAGAAUUUCAGCCUUGCUGAUUUUUCACUGUGUGACUCUGGGCAGGUGACUUUACCUCUCUGAACCAUAGUUUCCUUUUCUAGAAAAUGGGCCUUGUAAUAGUACCUCUUAGGGCUGCUGUGAAGGAAGGAUAACAUGGAAGCAACAUGCCUAUCAUAGUGCUUUGUGUAUGGGCAUAGCAAGAAGGCAGCCAUCUACAAGCUAGGAUGAGAGCCCUCACCAGAACCCAACCAUGCUGGCACCCUGAUCUUGGAAUUCCAGCCAUCCAAAUGAGUCAAGGCCACGGAUGGAGCAGGAGCUGUCACCGGUCAGUUUUCCAACCACGGGGAUGGAGCGUCCUGUAGUCCCAGAUUCCAGGGAAGCAUCCUUCAUUAAGGCUUUGAGCCACAGGGUCAAACUGAACUCCUUCCUGCUGUUCCUGUAAUGCGGCACUCAGACUGGAUCCCUGUUUUUGAAGAAGUAAAUGUCUAGAAACAGGGACAAACUGGUAUUUAAAAAUUACUAGUGGCCUUCUUUUUCCUUCUAUCAGUUUCCCCACAGUUGGAACAAAGCUUACCUUUUGAGAAAACUGUUUAGAAGUCCAG
rnacentral:lncRNA from 1 species